UUACCUACGGGACGCAGCAGUGAGGAAUAUUGGUCAAUGGUCGGGAGACUGAACCAGCCAAGCCGCGUUAGGGAUGAAGGUACAGAGUAUCGUAAACCUCUUUUGUCAGGGAACAAAGGCGGGGACGCGUCCCCGGAUGAGUGUACCUGAAGAAAAAGCAUCGGCUAACUCCGUGCCAGCAGCCGCGGUAAUACGGAGGAUGCGAGCGUUAUCCGGAUUUAUUGGGUUUAAAGGGUGCGCAGGCGGUCUGUUAAGGCAGCGGUCAAAGCCCGGGGCGCAACCCCGGCCCGCCGUUGAAACUGGCG
rnacentral:rRNA from 1 species